AGUGAACGCUGGCGGUAGGCCUAACACAUGCAAGUCGAACGGCAGCACAGUAAGAGCUUGCUCUUACGGGUGGCGAGUGGCGGACGGGUGAGGAAUACAUCGGAAUCUACUUUUUCGUGGGGGAUAACGUAGGGAAACUUACGCUAAUACCGCAUACGACCUACGGGUGAAAGCAGGGGAUCUUCGGACCUUGCGCGAUUGAAUGAGCCGAUGUCGGAUUAGCUAGUUGGCGGGGUAAAGGCCCACCAAGGCGACGAUCCGUAGCUGGUCUGAGAGGAUGAUCAGCCACACUGGAACUGAGACACGGUCCAGACUCCUACGGGAGGCAGCAGUGGGGAAUAUUGGACAAUGGGCGCAAGCCUGAUCCAGCCAUACCGCGUGGGUGAAGAAGGCCUUCGGGUUGUAAAGCCCUCUUGUUGGGAAAGAAAAGCAGCAGGUUAAUACCCCGCUGUUCUGACGGUACCCAAAGAAUAAGCACCGGCUAAUUUCGUG
rnacentral:rRNA from 1 species